GUGGGGAAUCUUGGACAAUGGGCGCAAGCCUGAUCCAGCAAUGCCGCGUGGGUGAAGAAGGCCUGCGGGUUGUAAAGCCCUUUCGGUGGGGAGGAACGGUCUGAUGCUAAUAUCAUGAGACCUUGCCGUCACCCACAGAAGAAGCACCGGCCAACUCCGUGCCAGCAGCCGCGGUAAUACGGAGGGUGCGAGCGUUAAUCGGAAUUACUGGGCGUAAAGGGCGCGUAGGUGGUGCGUUGAGUCAGCUGUGAAAGCCCUGGGCUUAACCUGGGAAUGGCAGUUGAGACUGGCGUGCUGGAGUGCGACAGAGGACGGUGGAAUUCCCGGUGUAGCGGUGAAAUGCGUAGAGAUCGGGAAGAACACCGAUGGCGAAGGCAGCCGUCUGGGUCGACACUGACGCUGAGGCGCGAAGGCGUGGGGAGCAAACAGGAUUAGAUACCCGAGUAGUCC
rnacentral:rRNA from 1 species